AGGCAGGUGGCAGGAACCCAGCCCUGGGCGUCUUCGGAACUCACGAACCACCAGCCUUGCGAGCGCAACAAUAUGAACAAUCAAAGGAGGGGAGAAAAAAAAUGAACACAGCAAACUGUUGCAGACCAAAUUCACACGUGGAGUCACAGAAUGGGGAGACACGGACCGGGAUUCCGGCUGUUUUGGACCAGAGGAAGCAAGCGACGGGAUUGCGGUGGCUGGAAACCCCCCGGUGUCGGCUGCUGGCCUCCCUCCCAGAUUUUCCCUGCCCUUGCUCACUCUUUCAAGGGUAACUGGAGUCAACGAUGACAAUGGAAAGAGCCGGUAGCUGCGAGUGUGUCGACCGCAUGUGUUCCAGAGGUGGUCCGUGAUAAGGAAGAGAAGAUAUAAAAAUACAGAGACGUGACUGAGGUACUAAAAGAAAUGAGGCGGUCGCCUCCAUGAGAAACAAGUCACUGAAAGAGAGUUGUUUCAUUUGCCAACCAGAAGAGGAUGAAACAGCGCCAAAGGCUCACCUGCCAGAGGAUAUGCAGAUCAAUUCACAAAAGAAAACACUUUUCAUGUGUUUCACUGGCUUCAGCGUUGGCUUUGUAUAAGAUCAUGUAGCAUUGAGUUCCUUUGCUCGGAUGAUCCGUCCGUCCAUUUUCUAUGCCGGUUGUCCUCAUUAGAGUCCUGGGUGAACUCGUACCUUUCCCAGCCGAUGUUUAGUUUGUAACGUUGCAUGGGGGUUACGUUUAUUUGGCUGCUCCUUGCACGUAAGCGUUCCCCUUGCCAUAUUUUUCAGUUAGAAUUGAUAUUCAGUUAUAUUUAUCUGCAUGUGCAAACUUAUUUUCUUCACCGUGUUUGUCAGUCUUCAAAGUUAAGGUUGAGUAUAUGCUUUUUGGGUUCCAUAUGAACAGUGGUUAACUUAUUUUUACACUUGUAUCAUUUACGAAAAGUUGAGUGCACAUGUUCCGAGCAGAUGCGUGUACAAAUUUUGUUUUAUUUUUCUGUUUCCUGUUUUAGCAUUGUAUUUAC